AAAUUUAUACAAAACUUUCAACAACGGAUCUCUUGGUUCUGGCAUCGAUGAAGAACGCAGCGAAAUGCGAUAAGUAAUGUGAAUUGCAGAAUUCAGUGAAUCAUCGAAUCUUUGAACGCACAUUGCGCCCUCUGGUAUUCCGGGGGGCAUGCCUGUUCGAGCGUCAUU
rnacentral:rRNA from 1 species